rnacentral:ribozyme from 1 species
GAAAAAGAAGAAGAGAAAGAAAAAGAGAGAAGAGAGAGGAAAGAAAGAGCACGCUCUCUGUUUUCUUCUUCUUUUACUUCUUCUUCUUCGCGCUUUUUCCUCUUCUUUUCCUCCUCU